UAAUUUAUAAUGAGAAAACCACUCUACUACAACGGUUUUUGGGGCUAGCACCGGCCGUUAAUUUUUAUCUUUUUUUUUUGUCUUAAAAUUUUUUCGUCAUUGAGAUGCGUUGACUUUUUCAGUUUUUCUUUAUUUUGAAUUUUUUUAUGAUAUUAUUUUCUUGCCGAUUAUCAGCUUUGAUUUUUUUAAUUAUAUUUUUCCAUUAUUGAACAAUUUAAAUAAAAAUCAAGAAAAAAAAAAUCAACGCUGUUAAGACGACAUUCAACAUUGGUCAACAACGGGAAAAAAAUCAAUC
rnacentral:lncRNA from 1 species